rnacentral:rRNA from 1 species
GGACUACAGGGGUUUCUAAUCCUGUUUGCUACCCACGCUUUCGUACCUCAGCGUCAGUGAUUGUCCAGAAAGCCGUCUACACCACCGGUGUUCCUCCUGAUAUCUACGCAUUUCACCGCUACACCAGGAAUUCCGCUUUCCUCUCCAAUACUCAAGCCCGCCAGUAUUCGGCGCACCCUCCCAGUUAAGCCAGGAGAUUUCACACCAAACUUGGCAAACCGCCUACGUACUCUUUACGCCCAGUAACUCCGAACAACGUUUGCUGCCUACGUAUUACCGCGGCUGCUGGCAC